UACGUAGGGUGCAAGCGUUGUCCGGAAUUAUUGGGCGUAAAGAGCUCGUAGGCGGUUUGUUGCGUCGGCUGUGAAAUCCCGAGGCUCAACCUCGGGUCUGCAGUCGAUACGAGCAAACUAGAGUGUUGCAGGGGAGACUGGAAUUCCUGGUGUAGCGGUGAAAUGCGCAGAUAUCAGGAGGAACACCGGUGGCGAAGGCGGGUCUCUGGGCAGAUACUGACGCUGAGACGCGAAAGCGUGGGUAGCAAACAGG
rnacentral:rRNA from 1 species